rnacentral:rRNA from 1 species
CGGUUGCCUUGCCUCCACGACUCGGCCGCGUCGAACCCUGGCUCAGGAUGAACGCUAGCUACAGGCUUAACACAUGCAAGUCGAGGGGCAGCAUGAACUUAGCUUGCUAAGUUUGAUGGCGACCGGCGCACGGGUGAGUAACACGUAUCCAACUUCCGUUUACUCAGGGAUAGCCUUUCGAAAGAAAGAUUAAUACCUGAUAGUAUGGUGAGAUUGCAUGAUAGCACCAUUAAAGAUUUAUUGGUAAACGAUGGGGAUGCGUUCCAUUAGGUAGUAGGCGGGGUAACGGCCCACCUAGCCGACGAUGGAUAGGGGUUCUGAGAGGAAGGUCCCCCACAUUGGAACUGAGACACGGUCCAAACUCCUACGGGAGGCAGCAGUGAGGAAUAUUGGUCAAUGGGCGAGAGCCUGAACCAGCCAAGUAGCGUGAAGGAUGAAGGUCCUACGGAUUGUAAACUUCUUUUAUACGGGAAUAAAGUAUCCUACGUGUAGGAUUUUGUAUGUACCGUAUGAAUAAGCAUCGGCUAACUCCGUGCCAGCAG